CUUCCAUCCCAUCCAGUUUAUCAAGUCACGGCCGGCGGCACAGUUACCUGAUCGAUCGUGGCGGCUUCGAAAGGAAUAGCAGAGCAAGAGUGAUGGCUCGUACUAAGCAGACAGUUUAUAAAUCAACCGGAGAAUGGAUCCCGAGCCGUCCUAUUCAUGGAGGGAAGGCGCCUCGCCAGCAGAUGAUCACUGCCGGUGCCAGCUUUCCUACAGGAGGGAAGGCGCCUCGCCAGCAGAUGAUCACUGAAUGUGGAAAAAAGACCGUUAAACCCGAAUCACUCACUCGGUGGCAGGAAUUUCCCAAUAAAGCAUCGAAGGGUCCUCCGCUGCAAAUGGGCAAAGAACAUGGCUGUGAAGAUAAUCACAUCCUCCUGAUCACUAACAUGUGGCAGGCCAUAUGUGCUGAGUAUACAUCCACGACUGAGCCAGCGGCUACUACGGCCGAGCCAGAGGCAGCUGCGACCGAACCUAAUCGCGACAAAGACCCAGCUCCCGGUCGACCGCUGAGUCUACGCCGACACAGCUCCAGGUUGGACCCAAAUGUGUGGGACCUUAAGUAGCCCUGAUCCCAAGGUAUGGUGGAUUGGUGUCGAAUAUGAAAUCGCAUUUGCUCCUCUCAUUCUGGCUGAAACUCUCUAGAUCUCCUACCUACUAGAUGGAAACAAUUUUUAAGUGCAAAAAACAAUCGCGCCAGAAGCAUAUAUUCCUGCUUGAGUUUUCUUAUAGUUCCCCUCGCUGAAGUUUCUCAUUUUGCGUAAUAUUCCUGCUUGAGUUUUCUUUUGUCCUUUUGGAAUGCGUCAUUUAUAUGUUGUUCACAGCAUUUUUUUUCAUAACUUUAACUACCUGUGACUCUCCCCUUUUUCAUAAGAAACUUACUUUCCAACAAGGGAAGUGCUAGGCCUCGACAUCUUCCU